UACGUAGGGACCGAGCGUUGUCCGGAAUCAUUGGGCGUAAAGAGCGUGUAGGCGGCUUGUUAAGUCUUGCGUGAAAUCUCGGGGCUCAACCCCGAGCGGUCGUGAGAAACUGGCAGGCUAGAGUGCGGGAGAGGAGAGUGGAAUUCCUGGUGUAGCGGUGAAAUGCGCAGAUCUCAGGAAGAACACCCGUGGCGAAGGCGGCUCUCUGGAACGCAACUGACGCUGAGACGCGAAAGCGUGGGGAGCAAACAGG
rnacentral:rRNA from 1 species